rnacentral:rRNA from 1 species
CACGUAGGCGGUCUGCUAAGUUCGGAGUGACAGUCACCAGCUUAACUGGUGAAGUACUUUGAAAACUGGCGGACUUGAGAGCGAAAGAGGGACAUGGAAUUCCGGGUGGAGCAGUGAAAUGCGUAGAGAUCCGGAGGAACACCAAAGGCGAAGGCAGUGUCCUGGCUCGUUUCUGACGCUGAGGUGCGAAAGCCAGGGGAGCGAACGGGAUUAGAUACCCCGGUAGUCCUGGCCGUAAACGAUGACCACCAGGCGUGGGAGGGAUCGACCCCUUCCGUGCCGUAGUCAACACAUUAAGUGGUCCGCCUGGGGAGUACGGUCGCAAGACUAAA